rnacentral:rRNA from 1 species
AGGACGAACGCUGGCGGUGUGCUUCACACAUGCAAGUCGAACGGGGUAGCAAUACCUAGUGGCGGACGGGUGAGUAACGCGUGGGAAUCUGCCUUUAGAUGGGGGAUAGCUAGCCGAAAGGCUAAUUAAUACCGCAUAAGCGCACAACUCGACAGGGUUAUGCGUAAAAAGGAGUAAUCCGUCUAUAGAUGAGCCCGCGUCCGAUUAGCUAGUUGGUAGGGUAAAAGCCUACCAAGGCUACGAUCGGUAGGUGGUCUGAGGGGAUGAUCACCCACAAUGGAACUGAGACACGGUCCAUACUCCUACGGGAGGCAGCAGUGGGGAAUUUUACGCAAUGGGCGAAAGCCUGACGUAGCGACACCGCGUGAGCGACGAAGCCCUUUGGGGUGUAAAGCUCUGUCGGCUGGGACGAAAAAAUGACGGUACCAGCAAAGGAAGCAUCGGCUAACUACGUGCCAGCAGCCGC